AGGACGAACGCUGGCGGCGUGCUUAACACAUGCAAGUCGAACGGUGAAGGUGGGAGCUUGCUCCUACCCGAUCAGUGGCGAACGGGUGAGUAACACGUGAGUAACCUGCCCCAGACUCUGGAACUAACCCCGGGAAACCGGAGCUAAUACCGGAUACGAGACGAAGCUGCAUGGCUAUCGUCUGGAAAGUUUUUCGGUCUGGGAUGGACUCGCGGCCUAUCAGCUUGUGGUGAGGUAAUGGCUCACCAAGGCGACGACGGGUA
rnacentral:rRNA from 1 species